rnacentral:tRNA from 1 species
GCCGGCAUGUCGGAAUUGGCAGACGAGGCAGACUCAAAAUCUGUUGGUGGCAACAUCGUGCGGGUUCAAGUCCCGCUGCCGGCAC